AGCAAUCCACCCGCCUCAGCCUCCCAAGGUGUUGGGAUUACAGGGUUGGGACGAGACCUGCAGAGCAUAUGCUCUGGGUAUUUGGUGGCCCUUCUGGUGAGCACUGGCAUUCCUUGAGGUCAACCUGUGCUGAAGACAGGAAGAUUUCACCCAAGUACAUAACUAAGAGAAGAUCACUCGCGGAAGAUUUCAUCCCCAAAAGCAAGAAUGUGAAGGACACUUGUACCCAGACAGUGAGGGCCACUGCCUCCUGCUAUGCUUUUAGCUCCCCCCAUAGCUGAGCCCUCCUGACCGGAAAACCUGAUGAGACCAUUUUUUUCAUCCCUCAGUCUCACAGAGGUCCCAUAAAACUGAACCAGGCUUGAUGCUGACACUGGGCCAGGGCAAUGUAGGCCCACUGGAGCCGGGGGAGAGUGUGACAGAGAGUGUCAAAGUCAAAAUAAAAAUAUAAAGACAAAUCUCUAAA